UACGUAGGGGGCAAGCGUUGUCCGGAUUUAUUGGGCGUAAAGAGCGUGUAGGCGGCCAAGCAGGUCCGCUGUGAAAACUCGAGGCUCAACCUCGAGACGUCGGUGGAAACCGUUUGGCUAGAGUCCGGAAGAGGAGAGUGGAAUUCCCGGUGUAGCGGUGAAAUGCGCAGAUAUCGGGAAGAACACCCGUGGCGAAGUCGGCUCUCUGGGACGGUACUGACGCUGAGACGCGAAAGCGUGGGGAGCGAACAGG
rnacentral:rRNA from 1 species